AGGGGCCCGCACAAGCGGUGGAGUAUGUGGUUUAAUUCGAUGCAACGCGAAGAACCUUACCUGGUCUUGACAUCCCGGAGACCCUUAGGAACUAGGGGUGCUUCCAUCUGAAGAAUCUGGAGACAGGUGCUGCAUGGCUGUCGUCAGCUCGUGUCGUGAGAUGUUGGGUUUAAGUCCCGCAACGAGCGCAACCCUUGCCUUUAGUUGCCAGCAGUUCGGCUGGGCACUCUAAAGGGACUGCCGGUGUUAAACCGGAGGAAGGUGGGGAUGACGUCAAGUCCUCAUGGCCUUUAUGACCAGGGCUACACACGUACUACAAUGGCCGAUACAAAGGGCAGCGACACUGCGAGGUGAAGCCAAUCCCGUAAAAUCGGUCUCAGUCCGGAUUGGAGUCUGCAACUCGACUCCAUGAAGUUGGAAUCGCUAGUAAUCGUGGAUCAGCAUGCCACGGUGAAUACGUUCCCGGGCCUU
rnacentral:rRNA from 1 species